rnacentral:lncRNA from 1 species
CACCUGAGGGAGGAAAUGUCAAAUGUAGAGCGCGAGAGGGUGUGAAGCGUCCCAGAAACGGAGCAGUCGUUCCACUGACGAGACUCAGGGUUGCUUUUUGUACAGAAUGUAUUUUGGAAGCAGAUGUGAUCGCGCUGAGCGUCUGAGCGUCUGAGCGUCUGAGCGUCUGAGCGUCUGAGCGCCUGAGCGCCGGCUGAAUCUCCGGAUUGACUGUUUUUUUUGUUGUUGUUUUUGUCUCCUCGAAGACGCAGUGAAGUUUCUCACAAUACUGCAUACAAACUGGAAAAGUAGCACUGCAUCAAAAGGAAGUGAGGAGCCUGUAGUGUUGAACUGGUUCAUUUAAACACAGUCGGCGUGCUUUCGUGUCGUCUCCUCUCCAACGUGGAACAUUUUCAAGCGGACGAAAGGAAGAAAUGUAGAAAUGGGCUUCCAUACACCUGCUACUCCAUAAAGUCAUGGAAACAAAUGACAUUAAGUGACACGCAUGUUGAGCCGCAAAACUCUCAAACACCAAAUGCUGUUGUUGGAAGUCGGCCGUGCGACGGGAACAACAAUCUGUUACUUAAAUGCUCCGCCACAAUGAUGGAUGUGUGAGGUCAACCAAGAUCCCAGGGAAACCUAAAUGAUACCAACGAUGAGGAAACUGUCGGGAGGCCCACGUUGGACUGCAUGUGAAUAAGAGUCACGUUAGAGUAACGACGGCAGCGAAGAGCGCGCUUGAAAAAGCGAGGCCAGACUUUGUGGUCGUCAUUGUGAAGGCCUUGGGAAGAGAAGCAUGAAACCAUAGUGUUGACACACUGGACCAUCGUGGAGAGGACCACUGCACUGCAUGCUGUCGAAAUGUUACUGUCACUAGGAGAGAGGUGUGUGUGUGUGUGUGUGUGUGUGUGUGUGUGAUACAUGUGUUCAUUCAUUUGACAAAUGGUGUUUUCCAUUCCUUCUGAGGAGAAUAACUGCUGCGUUGUGUCGUGUGUGAGCUUGUGCCCUGAAACUCUCCACCUCACCUAAACCUGCUGACAUCUUGUGUGUGUGUGUGUGUGUGUGUGUGUGUGUGUGUGUGUGUGUGUGUGUGUGUGUGUGUGUGUGUGUGUGUGUGUGUGUGUGUGUGUGUGUGUAUGAAUGUGAGCUUGUUGCUUAAGUAAGGAGCUGUAAACUAGAGGUGUUUGAUUCCACUCUAAUGCUUAUGUUCUUUUUCUUUCAUUUUUAUUUUUACAGUGUUAUUGUGCAGGGAUUCUUUUAUGUUUAUAGUUAUUUCCUAAAUGGGUUUUUUUUUCUUGCUUGUACAUAAAGACAAAAAAGAUCCCAAGUUUUAUCUUUUUUUAAUUACAUUAAUAUAAAAAAAAGGAAUCAUGAAAAACUUUGCUUGAAAAAUAACGGAAAGAAAUAAAGCAAUUUUGAAAGAAAAGC